GAACGCAGAAUUAAAAGUCAGUGGAACUAAGCCAUUUGUGAAGUAACCUUUGCAUUGCAAUAUGCACAAAACAAUUUGACUCCGCGCGACAGACAUGGCCGAAAAAGAAUAUAUAAAUGUAUAAAGUAAUAUUAAAUGGCACAUUUUUUAAGCCGGACAAUCAAAUUCGAUGAUAAAUCUGCACAAACACCUUUAGGUGAGCUUAUGCGCUGUUUUUAUGUGUAAGACAUGUACAUAUUUGAGAAAGAAAAUAUGACUAAGGGGGGUUCAUCCAAGCAGUUACACGGAGUAAGAGGCCAUGAAAGCUAAGAAAACUAAAACUAAUAUGGAACUUUCUAAGGAAAAUUCAAAAUCGUUUUUCGGUUCCCUGAGUUCAGCCCAGAUCAAUCAGAAAGUGUGCCACUACAUCGUGGGGGAGAUUUUACCAAAAUCUCACGUUGAGCAUUACACAAAUUUAACAGCUUAACAUAAAUAUAAACGCAUUUUGGAUGUAUUCCUAAAAUGCAAUAAAGUUCUGCCCAGCUCUGCGCCAGUUGAAAUAUUUUUUAGUUGUGAACCCCAAUACGAAACAAGCUGGGGGACGAGUUUUUCGAAAAAUUAGUUAUGUUAAAAAAUGAAAACAUUUAAAUUUUGAUUGUUAUAUGAAAAUGAAAAGAUAAUGUUAUUUUUAAGAGGACUAAAACCUGAAACCUAGUCUUAUUUUAAGUUGAAUUGAUUCGCCAAUGUAAUAAAUCAAACAAACAAAUAAAUAAAACAAAAAAAUCAUAAAAAUUAAAAAAAAA